CGCCAAUCCUGUUGGUGCAAAAAUCUGCUUGCGCCGGAGAAGCUGGAGUCGGGGAAGCCGCGGUCGCCGUCGGGACCUGCAAGGGAAGUCUAAACCGGAGGUGGGGUUGCUCCGGCAAGACCCUCCGAUGCUCAAGUCAGUUCUCUGCCUCAACAAGAAUGGAGUGCUCGAACGGAGAAUUUAGCAGAGUUUUGGGAUAAGAAAAUGAGCUUAGAGAAUAACGUAUCUGGGUCCCCCUUUUAUAGGCGGAGGGGGCAACGGAUUGAUGGCGACAUUUGUAACCGUCUGGUAGUGGGCCGCCCAUGGUCAGGGGAAUUUAUUGCGAAGGGUAGUGGGGUAGACCUGUGGCUAUUGUCAUAGUCUGCCAUGUAGGGCCUGUUGCAGGUAGUGGAGCGGCGUCCGUUGCCGCUAGUUGUCAGCGAGUAGUGGGAUCGUGC
rnacentral:lncRNA from 1 species